UUCCAGCUCUGCUAAUACAUAGAAUUAUUGCUGCGGUUAAAAAGCUCGUAGUUGGAUUCGUGUCGAUACCCUGGAACCCUUCGGGUGUCUCUAGGUGUUAUCGAUUUAUCGUAAUGUUCGGUCUUGAGUCCUUAACAGGAUUCCUGACAGGCGUUACAAGUUUACUUUGAACAAAUCAGAGUGCUUCAAACAGGCGUUUAGCUUGAAUGAUCGUGCAUGGAAUAAUAGAAUACGAUUUCGGUUCAGUUUUAUUGGUUUUACGGACUGAGAUAAUGGUUAACAGAGACAAACGGGGGCAUUUGUAUGGCCCCGUGAGAGGUGAAAUUCUUGGACCGUGGCCAGACAAACUACAGCGAAAGCAUUUGCCAAGAAUGUCUUCAUUAAUCAAGAACGAAAGUCAGAGGUUCGAAGGCGAUCAGAUACCGCCCUAGUUCUAAACCCGUAAAA
rnacentral:rRNA from 1 species